rnacentral:lncRNA from 1 species
CACUACUCUUUGCAACAAACUCCUCCUGACCCUGGGCAGCCCACUGCCAGACGGUUACAAACAUCACUAUCAGUCUGUUGCCCCCUCCGCCUAUAAAAGGGGGACCACAGAUACGUUAUUCUCUAAGCUCUAAUUUCUAUCCUAAAAACUUUGCUAAAAUUUUCGUUCGAGCACUCCAUUCUUGUUGAGGUAGAGAACUGACUUGAGCGUCGGAGGGUCUUGUCGGAGCAACCCCA